AGAGUUUGAUCCUGGCUCAGAAUCAACGCUGGCGGCGUGCCUAACACAUGCAAGUCGCACGAGAAAGGGACUUCGGUCCUGAGUACAGUGGCGCACGGGUGAGUAACACGUGAAUCAUCUACCUUCGAGUGGGGAAUAACUGAGAGAAAUCUUAGCUAAUACCGCAUAAUACCUACGGGUCAAAGCAGCAAUGCGCUUGAAGAGGAGUUCGCGGCAGAUUAGUUAGUUGGCGGGGUAAUGGCCCACCAAGACGAUGAUCUGUAUCCGGCCUGAGAGGGCGCACGGACACACUGGAACUGAAACACGGUCCAGACUCCUACGGGAGGCAGCAGUGGGGAAUUUUGCGCAAUGGGGGAAACCCUGACGCAGCAACGCCGCGUGGAGGAUGAAAUCCCUUGGGAUGUAAACUCCUUUCGAUCGGGAAGAUAAUGACGGUACCG
rnacentral:rRNA from 1 species